CACGUAGGGUGCGAGCGUUGUCCGGAAUUAUUGGGCGUAAAGAGCUCGUAGGCGGUGUGUCGCGUCGGCCGUGAAAACCUGCAGCUUAACUGUGGGCGUGCGGUCGAUACGGGCAUCACUGGAGUUCGGCAGGGGAGACUGGAAUUCCUGGUGUAGCGGUGAAAUGCGCAGAUAUCAGGAGGAACACCGGUGGCGAAGGCGGGAUCCUGGGCCAGUACUGACGCUGAGGAGCGAAAGCGUGGGGAGCAAACAGG
rnacentral:rRNA from 1 species